UGGGGAAUUUUGGACAAUGGGCGAAAGCCUGAUCCAGCAAUGCCGCGUGUGUGAAGAAGGCCUUCGGGUUGUAAAGCACUUUUGUCCGGAAAGAAAUCCUCUGGGGUUAAUACCCUCGGGGGGAUGACGGUACCGGAAGAAUAAGCACCGGCUAACUACGUGCCAGCAGCCGCGGUAAUACGUAGGGUGCAAGCGUUAAUCGGAAUUACUGGGCGUAAAGCGUGCGCAGGCGGUUUUGUAAGACGGAUGCGAAAUCCCCGGGCUUAACUGGGAACUGCAUUCGUGACUGCAAGGCUAGAGUAUGGCAGAGGGGGUAGAAUUCCACGUUAGCAGUGAAAUGCGUAGAGAUGUGGAGGAAUACCGAUGGCGAAGGCAGCCCCUGGGCCAAUACUGACGCUCAUGCACGAAAGCGUGGGGAGCAAACAGGAUUAGAUACCCUGGUAGUCCACGCCCUAAACGAUGUCAACUAGUUGUUGGGGAUUCAUUUCCUUAGUAACGUAGCUAACGCGUGAAGUUGACCGCCUGGGG
rnacentral:rRNA from 1 species